rnacentral:rRNA from 1 species
UACGAGGGGGGCGAGCGUUGUUCGGAAUCACUGGGCGUAAAGAGUGCGUAGGCGGUUAUUAAAGUUAGGAGUGAAAGCCCCGAGCUCAACUUGGGAAUUGCUCUUAAUACUCCAUAACUCGAAUUCGGGAGAGGAUAGCGGAAUUGUCAGUGUAGCAGUGAAAUGCGUAGAUAUUGACAGGAACACCAGUGGCGUAGGCGGCUAUCUGGACCGACAUUGACGCUGAGGCACGAAAGCGUGGGGAUCAAACAGG